AAGGAUAAGGUAACAGUGUGAAACAAAAUAUAAAGUCUAUAAUCUUUGAAUAUAUAUAACUUCUGCUAUAUAUAACUUCUCUUCUAGAAGAGACAGUCCGUGUUCCCAAACACUCCUGAGGCUCAACGUAAAACAAAUAAUUCCCAUGAAUUAAAAAGGCAAUUAACACCUCCACAAUGUCAUCUCUUCAACAUGGUUAUGUGUGUGAAGUCUGAAUGCAUUUACAGCACAGUCAUGAAGAUGAGACCACAUUGGCCACUGGUGUGAUAGGAGCAAAGACAGUUACCAGUUCAUGUCCAGGCUAUUGAAGCAAGCUCUCAGAGCAGAUCUCUUGGUUCCACUUCCCCAUUUCUAAAUCAUUUUGAACAUAUUCUGGAUUUCCUGAAAAGUAGGAUAUGCCUACCACAGUAAAGCUUGCAAAGAGAUAGGUAGAAGAGAGGAAGGUAUGCUUGUAUUAAGCAGCACUCACAACAUUUGAGGCAUCGGGGAGAAAGCAAGCACUCAUGUUCUGGGAAGAGGUGAAGAGGAAGGUCUCAGCAUUAUUCAGUACAGGAAGAAACAAGUCUGGUAAAAUUCCUUGGUAAAGGGAAUCAUUACAGAUUUGGGAAGUCUCAGCUUCCCAGGCCUGAGCCAUAUCCCUGCCUCAAGUUGGGGCAAUGAUGUUCUUGUUAGCCAUCAAUGUCUGACAGGGAACUGCAGGGAACUCCUUACCCAGUCCCUGAUCUGGGCAGCUGGAGGAGCAUUAUUCAAAAAGACAGGAGUGUGUCCCAGCUGGUCAUCUAGACACAGUUUGAAAUGCCAGGCAACAGUUACAGCAGAAUGAGCUCUCUGUCUGGCAAUAUCAGGAGUGCUCUGCUGAUAUCCCAAAAAUAUUUCAAUCAUCCUUCUUGGAAGAGAGAUUUUCAGCAUUACAAAAUUACAUUAAAAUACAGUUUGAUUGACAAACGUCAGAAUUCAACUCGGAGAUGCAAACUUCAUAAACUGACUAUGCCACCAGAAAAAUGUCCUUGUAUCCCAAGCCACUGUUUUUGCAGAUGGAGAUCAAGAGAGACUGCAUAUAUAUGUGUAUGCCUCACCUACACAUUUACAGGCAUUUCAAUAUUAUACUGAAACCUCAUGUGUAAGAGCAACAAAGAGGGGAAAUCCAUAUGAGAAGCAGCAACAGAUGUAUGGCAGGAUUUAUCUCACCUAUCUUUAGACAUCCAGAGUGUAGGCGUCUCCAUCUGAGCUAGCCAGCCUGUGCUCCAUUUAUAGUCAGUGGAGAGAAAUAGGCACUUUCAGGGUCUGAUUUGUCUGCUUUAUUUUAGAUCACAUCCACAUUACAAGAGAUGAGAUGACAUGCAUCCUGGAAAUGCCAUUUUCUUUCUAUAGAUUAUGAAAGGACUUUGAAGUAUCUAAUUUAAACAUAAAUUUGAAUGCUGGCUAAACUAAGAACUAAAAAACUCUUCCUUUUUUUCCCUUUUUUUUUCCCCCAGGGAUUUUUUUAGUGUUAGCCUUGUUUCCUGUUCAGUUAUCACAUGGUGCCAUUAAAAAAUGUCUAUAAGCAAGUGAUGAGGCCUAUGAGGCCAGAACUCUCUUAAACCAUGUUGCUACAGAUCUCUUCUGUUCCUGAAACUGAAUAAUGUUAAUCUCACACAGGGAUAUUAAACCUUUAGAAAUUGAAGAUUGACCAGAAAAGCCAAUCAAAAAAAGCAAAGCUUUAUUUAGCUCAAUAUGCACAGAUCUGGUCAUCCUGCACCACAGUUAGCUGUGAUAUGGAGUGGUUAACCAAGUUACCAGCAGAUCCAAGGACCCAGUAUCUGGCAUGGUUAUUAGGUUUUCAUGGCCAGAUUUUUGCAGCAGGGGGGCUGCAGCAGUGGUUUCUGUGAGAAGCUGCCUGAUGCUUCCUUCAUGUCUGGCACAGCCAGUCCCUGGCGGCUCCAAAGAUGGACAUGCCACUGGCCAAGGCUGGGCCAACGGGAAGUGGUGGCAAUGCCUCUGUGGUAAUGUAUUUUAAAAGAGUUUAAAAAAAAUGUUGUUGCACAGUUGUAAUUGCAGCCAGUGAAGAGUGGAGUGAGAGCCCAUGACAUGAACAGCCAUGCAUACACAAAGAUCAGUGGAGAAGGAGGGGGAUCAGGUUCUCCAGACACCAGAGCUGAGAUUCCUCUGCAGGCUGUGAUGAGACCAUGGUGAAGCAUCUGUGCCCCUGCAGCCCAUGGAGGACCAUGGGCAUACAGAGAUCCACCUGCAGCCCAUGGAGGAACCCCACAUUGGAGCAGGAAGAGUUUUGGUACACUUUCUCAUUCAGACAGGCAAAGUACAUGCACCUACUGAAUGCCCUUCCUGCCCUGCUCAUGCAGCCCCAUCCAUCAGCUGAUCUGAGACACCUGGAGCAGUACAAAGUUGGCAGGAAGAGAGUUGAAGGAAGUGCUGAAAGCGAGAGAGAAGGUUGCCCUGGGAUUCACUUCAGUGUCCAACCCAGGUGAAUCAUGGAAUGGAAAAGUGGGAACUGUGACUACUCCAUGUAUGUGAUGCAUUUUAUGUGGCUGUUGGUAUGUACUUUGAUAAAAGUUCAGUAUGAAACUUUACUAAAGUUUUUAGUGUGCAGCUCACGAGUUCAGGGACGUUUGUAGUUGCAGCUUGGAUGGGAGCAGCAGUUGUGAUGCAAAUGUGCUUUAUAGGGAGUCCAGGGCAGCAGUGCAGAAUUUAUCUUGAUUUGGGCCUGGAUUCAUCAUCCUUCUUGGCUUAGAGCUUUGUAAGUGAAGAAGAUGUUGCUGUACCUCACCUACUUGCUGGAGAAAGGCAGGGACCAUUUAUGUUCAGGAUUGCCAUCUGAAUUAUUGCUUAAUAAGGUGACUAUAGAUACAAGCCUGAGCCUGAGCAGAUAUGAAUCAUGACAGCUUUAAGGGGUCACUUUUACCUUCAAUUAUUAGACAUGUUUAGUUAUGAAGAAUGCUGUGAUAAAACCCAGUGAAAGUAAAGACUUCAGCGUGUCAAGGAAGCAUUUAGCAUACCAUGGUGUCUCACAAUACAACACAAAUAAUAGAAGGAUUUUUUGUAACAUGUUGACCAUCAAAGUUGUAAUUAGUAAACAUUGCCAGCUUCAGGGCGGUCUUUCACAGUCCCACUUCUGAGCUGCAAAUUGUUGAUGUAACAGCCAUUUCAGUAAAGCUGGACAAGCCAUCGAGGCUGUAAGGAUCAGUGUGCAUGUAGAAAGAGGAAAUAAAUAAGACCCUCACAGACUAUUAGGUCUUUAAUCUUUUCUCCACAUUACAGUACUCUUACACCCAGUUGGUUCAGUCACAGGAAAUUAAUUUCUGUACACAAUCUGGAAGGUCGGUGGUUUGAUGUUCUUGAAAAACAAGGGAUAUGCUGUUAGCAGAUGCAAGUGGAUGGGGAAAAGGCUGGCCUGAGAAUCUCCAAAGAGUCCUGAUGAGCAGAGGAUAUCCUUCUGCAAGAUGUUGGAAGCUAGAGAAACUGAAGGACAAAACUGUGUCAGAGUGCCCAACUGUGUCAAGACACCCCUUGCACAGAAGUCUGCACAGAGUAAAGCAAAGUGGUGAAUGAACCUCAGCAAGCUUGCUGUCAAAGUCAAGGUAGUGACAAGACUGGGCACUACCCAGAGAAUGCCAGGAAGAGUGAAAGCAGGAGGAAUGGCAAACAAAUGUGACCACACAACAGCAGCCUAAGGCAGAUAAGUCUGGCCCCCACUUGGAGAUUUCUGAGGCUGCUUUUUAGGGAGGAGUGGGACUGUGACAGAGCCCACCUGCAUUCAGGCACUGGUGAGAGGCUAUGUCACAGCAGUGGAAUGAUGCUUUGGAAGUAUCCAGCUACAGGCCAACAAGUAGGCCAGGCUGUUUUAAAUCUGUGUAGCCAUGUAGCAAGCACAGGACCUGCAGCCUCCCUGGUGGUCAGCAGUCUGAGAUAAGAAAUGCCUAGUCAUGAUGACUGGACCUAAGAAGCCUCUCUUCCACCUUUGGACCCUUGUUACCUCUCCGUAAGAUGAUAGAUCACUUUCCCUCGACCCUUAAUACUGGACUAUUUCCUAAAACUCCUGUACCCUAUAUAAACCCUGCUUCUGCUCAGUUUGGCAGAAGAGCUGUCACCAGGACCCUUUACAGAAGACACCAAUAAAGGCAUCUCUGUGGAACCUCACACAGCCUUCUCCUCUCUCUCCCAGUCUGCCAAAGGCGCUUAGCAAGCUAAGAGCUGAAAUCCCUAAUGAGCUGAUAAUCACAAAGACCUGAUCUCAUUUAAGAGCUGAGCUUGCUAAGACUGCCUGUGGCUCUGGAGCCUGCCUUGAGGGGCCUGGACAGGUCGUGCUUAGCUGGACUUCUCUGUCCUGGACACCCACAGCAGCUGGGGUCGGGGAGACCCCCAAAGCCCCAAAAGCUGCAUUAUAUAGCCAUGGCCUGUUAUGGUCCAAACAGGGAACUCCUGUUGGAAGCUCCAUCAGAAAAGUGCCAGUUUCCCCUUCCCUGAACUAUUCUGGUGAAUGUACAGCCACGUUCUCUGGAAGAUAUUUAUACCUCUAUGAAAAAGCACUGACUAACCUUACCCUGCAAUGAUUCUUAGGCUGUAACUUACUACCAACUUCUUGUGCUCCUCUCAGAGAGGAGCACAAGAAAUGCUCCAGACCCCACUGAAUGGGUCAAGAAUGUUGGACUGAAUUUAAAAUUCUGCUGACAAUUUGCAAUAUCCAAGCAGUGGUGCAUAUAAGUUUAAUUAGUCUUUGCUGUUUGCUGUUCCAUUUUGAAAUCUGUAAUGCUGUGGAAGUCUUUGUAACCUGCUGGCAUAUUCACUGAUACCCCAUUGCCUAUUCAUUAUUUAGUUUUUGGUUUGCUCAGUGCUUCUGCCUUGUCUUUGCAUUUCUGAUAGAGCAUUCAGGCAUUAUUUUUUUCCUCCACUGAUAGUGUGCUCUCUCAUCAAACCUUUCCCAGAAGUAUUUUUUCUAUAUUUAAUCUUGCAGCAGCUGCCAUCCUCUCUUUCCCUUUUUGUGUAUUUGUAAUAUAGACAGCAAUACCAAAACAAUGCUUACUAUUCAUGAUGCAGUGGUGUGUGGCAUUGAGCAAGAGCUGCUUCAUGUUUUGUAGGUAUAUGGUCACAGCUUGAUAACUCUGGGCAUACAUUUAGAUUUCUUGCAUAGCUCUGACAGGGGAAGACGGGGACUUUUUAUUUCUCCUUUGUAAAAGAAAACUCAUAUUUACAGUGUAUUCAGAUUAUUUCCCUUAUUAAGGUAAUAUAUAUUUUUUCCUUCCUAUUUUCUUUUUAUGUUUAUGUAUUUUAAAAAACUGAAGGAGAAAAUAAAGGCUAGGUUUCUCUAUUUAAAUUAACAUUUUGGUUUGCAGUGGUACAACAGUUCUGAAGUGAAAUGUCUGAUCACCAUGACUUGCUGCACUGGUUUAGUUUGCAAAGCCAUGCUGGUGUGUGUCAGCUAGAGCACUUUUAGAGAAAACUAACCAAGAAAGUCUACUUGAGAUCUGUAUCUAAGGGAGUCAGCACAGUAAUGGGAACCCAAAGAACCAAACUGAUGAAUAGGUCUUAGGACAGCCUUAACUCACAGGGGUGUUUGGAACAUUUGGUUAUGAAUGUAGUCAUCUCUAUCCAAAAUCUUGUAACAUGUAGAUGUGAUCGUUACUGAACUAACUGCUUUGAUCUACUAAUCUUCUUCUAUUGUGAUAAAUUAUUUGGUAAUGCAGAUAAAUCUCAGGCUGUUUAGAAAGAUAAUUAAAAAAAUAUGAUCAACAUGGCCUCAAAUUCAUUUGUACUAUGUUAGUAUUGGUACUUAGUAGCAAACAACUUUAAAAAAUCCAUUAGAAACAAUCUACUCCAGCUGUGGUCUGAGAAUAUUGAUUUUGAAACUAGAAAGUUUUAAAUCAGAUGGUUGCGUAUGGGCUUCCCACAAAAAUGUUCUAACUUUUAGGACUGAUGUGAUCAAUUUCACUCGAAAUGCUCUUGGUUAUUACAGCUAGCAGCACAUAUCCUAGUAAAGCUAAUCAAUAAGCACUAACAUGCAGAUUGAUACCAUCCUCUGUCAGGCAGUUAGGAAUUUAAUGUAUUUGCAGAACAGGACUCUGGGAGUGAAAAAUAAAAGAAAAGUACUAGUUUAUUGAUUGUGCUCCUGUGACCCAUUUCCUAUACUUUUUAUCUCCAUUUGUCACAAUGCAGCUGGGGUGCAUAUGCCUGCACACCAUUCCAUAGCAAACUAACAACUCUGAACUUAAUAAAUUUGACUUAAUAAAACAUUAACACCAGAAGCUUGUAGCCUCAUCAGAUAUAAUACCAAUAUUUAGAGAGAUACUCAAGGAUACUUUGUCAACAAGGGCUAUCCACAAGCCAGAUUGGAAUGCUCUGCCUUUAGUGACUGCAAUGGCAAAUGUGUUCCAUUAGAGAAUUUUUGGAAUGGAAAAAGAAUUUGUUUUCUUUACUGUUCUCAUGGUUUAAGGAGAUAAAAUCAUUUUUUACUGAAAAUGAAAACAAAUGGACCUUUGACAGGCUAUUUUUAUUACCACUGGAAGUUCUCUGGAAAAAUGAAAGAGUUUCACCUUAGCUUCACAUGAAAUGAAUUCCAGUGGUAUGGGAAAAAUAUAAAUAGAAAGUAGUCUUUUUUCUGACAGUAGAAGCCUUUAAUGCACUUUAUGUCCUUGAUGACUCUUAUUUAACUCAAGCAAAGGAGAUUGAUUCUGACCCUUUACUGAAAUACAGACAAUAUGAAACUAAAAACACAAGAAAUGUCUUUUCAAAGAAAUGGUACAAGAAGUAAAUGAAAUUAAAGAAGAAUGUGAAUACUGACAUCUUAAGUGGAUCUCUGAGAAACUAACAGAAUUCCUGAGGAAUUUAAGAAAGCUUGUCAUCUACAGUGAACACAUAAACUGUGAAACACAUAACACAUAAACUGUGAAACAAAAACACAUAAACAUAGGUCAAUCAAAUGAACUCUCUUGACAGCAAGGAAAAAAAUGACCUCUCAGGAGAAACUGAUUUGUUUGUGUUGUCUAAGGAAGAAUUCUGCUCAUUCUAAGUCACAUAUACUCCUUCUAAAGGGAUAUUAUAAUUGUGCAAGUGCAGCUUUGCACUAGAUAUGAUAACUGGAUAAGGAGUUAUGCUUAUUAAUGCUCUCUCUCCCAGACGUAGUAGA